rnacentral:rRNA from 1 species
AUUGAACGCUGGCGGCAUGCCUUACACAUGCAAGUCGAACGGUAACAGGUCUUCGGAUGCUGACGAGUGGCGAACGGGUGAGUAAUACAUCGGAACGUGCCCGAUCGUGGGGGAUAACGGAGCGAAAGCUUUGCUAAUACCGCAUACGAUCUACGGAUGAAAGCAGGGGACCGCAAGGCCUUGCGCGGACGGAGCGGCCGAUGGCAGAUUGGGUAGUUGGUGGGAUAAAAGCUUACCAAGCCGACGAUCUGUAGCUGGUCUGAGAGGACGACCAGCCACACUGGGACUGAGACACGGCCCAGACUCCUACGGGAGGCAGCAGUGGGGAAUUUUGGACAAUGGGCGAAAGCCUGAUCCAGCCAUGCCGCGUGCAGGAUGAAGGCCUUCGGGUUGUAAACUGCUUUUGUACGGAACGAAAAGACUCCUUCUAAUAAAGGGGGUCCAUGACGGUACCGUAAGAAUAAGCACCGGCUAACUACGUGCCAGCAGCCGCGGUAA